rfam:Sphaerochaeta globosa str. Buddy, complete genome.
GGGGGUGUUUCGGUUUCGACUGGCGGCAGAUCAGGCCAGGGGCUGCAAGCGGAGCGCCAACUCCUAAAACUAGCAAAAACAAUUAACUGCCAAAAAAGAAGACGAAGUCUCCUUCAACGCAGAAUACGCCUUCGCUGCCUAAUAGCACGAUGACGUACAGGUCCGAAUACUGCCGCUCUUAAGUAUCGGAUACCUGUAAAAGUAGGGGCUUACCCUUCCUAGUGCCUAUGGAUGAAGGGAACACCAAAGUAGGAUACAGAGGAUGGACGUUUUGUCAGUGAACCCAACGUCUUCUGGAAAAUUUGAUCACCGGCUAAGCUUGUAGACGUCACUGGGUGGCACGUUAGGACGGGGGUUCGAAUCCCCCCACCUCCAAAA